rnacentral:lncRNA from 1 species
UGCUUGUGGAAAUCCUUGUGGUCAAAGAUAAUGGAUAUUAAUGGAACAUGGGUGUAAGAUUUUCGUUUGGCUUUUUCUUGUUCAUUUCUGUUUCUGCAGUCUUGUUUUUUGUUUUGGGGGAGUUCAGGUGGAGAUUGAUCAUUUUUCAUGGGGUGGUGUGAAGGGAAAAUUAUUCGACGUUAACUUGUGCCUACAUUUGCAUUGGUGGUUCCCCCUCUCUAGCAUAGCUAUAUUUGCAUUGGUGGUUCCCCCUCUCUAGCAUAGAUGAAUGAAGCAUAGAUUGUAGACUUUUUUAGGUCUUCUCGUAUAAAAUGCCUUGGGAACUUGAUCUUUCUCCAUGUGCAGACAGAUUGACACGAAGUGGACAAUGCUUAUAGGAAAACUAUUGAGAUUUGAGUUUUUGCUUGUUUUGCUUUACAAAUUAUAUGGCUGUCCACCUUUCUAAGCAAGUCAUGAUCAACUUUUCCUCUCCUUGAUGGUCUUGUUUUUUCCGUUAUUUCUUGCCACCCCAUUGAUGCAACAAGGAUUUUAUUAAAAGUUUAUUCAAGGCGAAAGACUAAUAAUUAGUAGAAUUCGAGUUUAUUUAGUAGUUUUAUUUUGAUAAUGUGUUCCUCCUUAUUUCUUAUUGUUCCUUAUCAAUUUGUAUGCUUCUGCAUCACCCAUAUUUCAAAUCAAGUUGGAAAUCCGAAAGCACUUUGGAUUUAGCAUCACAUAGCAAUUUAAAAUAUGCAUUAAAUUAUUAUUAUUGUUAUUAUUAUUAUUAUUAUUAUUAUUAGUAUUAGUAUUAUUCAGGUUGAUCAAAUUCUUCCCGCAUGCAUUUUUGUUCUAGUGAGUGUAAAUGGGGCAUGUUGACAAAUACUUAAGAAUCUUUGGAUCAGGGUUUUUUGGUUCCAUUGUCUGUAGGCGUUAAUUGAGGCCAUUAAUUGUUCCUGAAAUGGCGGUUCACUCCUAGGUAAUAUCACUAAAUCCUUAGUCAGUGCAUGAAAUAUAUAAAUCCUGGGUGUUGCUCAUACAUAUAACUUCGGUUUUGGUUCCAUCAGCUUUAGCCAGCACCUUGUUACUGAGGGGAUAUUUCCAAAAAUAAAGGUUUAAUAUCAGAAUUAAGUGUUGCAUGUUGGAUCUCCUUUCUCAAAUACGUCUGUCAUGUAAGCUUAGUGUUUGAAGUACAAUGCAGUUCUGAAGCAUAUUUAUUUGCUGCAGUUUAUACGUUGUUUUGAAUAUGGUGUUUUUCAAAUGCAGAAAUUUGUAGGAAUCCUUGGAGAAAAGACAAGAUUUUGUCCUCAUGUUUUUGAUUUGCAUUAAUAGAAUUUGAUGUCUCUUUUUAGAUGAUGGUAUCCUAUCAUUGUCAAUCUUUUUAUGCCUGAUUCUCUUACUAUACCUAGAUUUUCAUCCCCUAUUUAUUCCCCCUCGCUCAGAUUUUCUCUGUAAAUUGAGUUGUGAAGUUUUCAGUUUGUUUAUGAUAUGGAGUUGUUGGACUCGAAUUUGCAGCUUGAAUCUACGUAUUUGGUUUAAAUACUAUGACCUCGACUUCCCUCGUAAAAAUAAAUGGGCAGUUGUUGACUGGAAAGUGGUGUUACAGCGUAGGUGAAGAAUUGUUUUGUUAAGGACGAAGAUUUUGUCUGGUCUUUAUUUUUCAUGUUCUCAGCAGUCCCAGUUUGUCUUUCGGGGGAGUUCAGAUGGAUUGGUCAUUUUGUAGGGUAGCACGAAGGGAUACUUAUUCUUUGUUAACUGCAGCUACAUUUGCAGUGGUGAUUUCUUCCAACCUGUUCCAAUAUCUGCUCUACAUGAAUGAACUGUAUACUUUUUGACGUCUUUUUAUAUAUAAUGCCUCAGGUUCUUUGAUGCAUGUGCCUGACAGAUUGACAUGAAAAGGGCAGUGCGUGAUAGGAAUACUAAUGUCUAAGUUACUGUGUUUUUGCUUCCUGAUAUUUUGGCCUUUCUGAAGGAGUUUGUCCUGUCUGUCUUUCUAACAAGUCAUGAUGCUGUCCAUCUAUUUCAGUCUGUUGUUUGCUAAUACACUUGUUCAGAUUUGCAUCUUUCCUCUGGUGAAUUAGGUUAAUAUUUUAGGUAUGCAUUUGUACAAGAGCCUUUGGGGCGUUGGUAUUCCAUGUGCAGACAAAGAUUCUUUGAGGAUGAUAAAAUAUUUUUUUGAUUGUUACACCACAAAGAGAAUGCAUGGGAUUCUUGGAGUGAGAGUGAACACAGCUUCUGCUGCUGGAGGCCGUUUAGAUACUGAAAAUAUUUUCAAUGGUCUGGUGGACUCUACACCCUACCUUAACUCUCUUUCUGCCAAUUGACUACAUCAGAUUAACAUAUUUUUUUCUCCACUAUUGUUGAGUUCAUGGAUUUCUUUUGCCCUGGUAGUUAGACGUUGCCUUAUAGACUUUUUAACCCUUGUGGGUAGCUUUGUGUUUUAUUAGAAUUGUGAAGUUAGGUUGCAAACCCAAGUGCAGGUUGCAAGUAGUAAACUCGGAAGUCCGAGGUCGAACCACAGGGAAUUGGAAGGAAAUAAACUAGUCUAUGAGUAGUGAAUAGCGAGGAAAUACGAUGGAGAAGUCUAGCGUUGGGGGAUUCACUUCGGCUAAAUGGGUAGAAAUUGCUCUUAAUCUUUUAUUUAACUCAUAUGGAAAUCAACUAAGGAGUGAUC